GAUGAACGCUGGCGGCGUGCUUAACACAUGCAAGUCGAACGGAAAGGCCCAAGCUUGCUUGGGUACUCGAGUGGCGAACGGGUGAGUAACACGUGGGUGAUCUACCCUGCACUUCGGGAUAAGCCUGGGAAACUGGGUCUAAUACCGGAUAGGACCACAUUUUGGAUGGUGUGGUGGAAAGUUUUUCGGUGUGGGAUGAGCUCGCGGCCUAUCAGCUUGUUGGUGGGGUAAUGGCCUACCAAGGCGUCGACGGGUAGCCGGCCUGAGAGGGUGUACGGCCACAUUGGGACUGAGAUACGGCCCAGACUCCUACGGGAGGCAGCAGUGGGGAAUAUUGCACAAUGGGCGCAAGCCUGAUGCAGCGACGCCGCGUGGGGGAUGACGGCCUUCGGGUUGUAAACUCCUUUCGCUAGGGACGAAGCGUUAUGUGACGGUACCUGGAGAAGAAGCACCGGCUAACUACGUG
rnacentral:rRNA from 1 species